CCCUAGGGGGCGCAGCAGGCGAGAAAACUUUACAAUGCGAGAAAUCGUGAUAAGGGAACCCCGAGUGCCCGUAAAUUCGGGCUUUCCAUCAGUUUAAAAAACUUGUGAAGAAAGGGCCGGGCAAGACCGGUGCCAGCCGCCGCGGUAAUACCGGCGGCUCGAGUGGUGGCCGCUAUUACUGGGUUUAAAGGGUUCGUAGCUGGGCUGUUAAAUCUCCUGGGAAAUCUAUCGGCUCAACCGUUGGUCCCCAGGAGAUACUGUUAGGCUAGGACCGAGAGU
rnacentral:rRNA from 1 species